CAGGAGCCCCAUCAGAUGUUCUCCACUCCUGCUCUCUUGCCUUGGAGCACUGUUGGGUGCAAUGUGGGCGCUAGGACCCUUCAUGCCUCUCAACAGCCCCCAGGACCACCAUUAGAUCUUCUCCACUCCUUUCUCUUGUGCCCACGGCUUGCCGUUGGGGACCAUCUGGGCACUGGGACCACUUCGAUCAUCUCCCGGCAGCUGAGACUCUUACUCUACAGCGGUUGCCCAGUGCAUUUCCCAGUCUCAUGGACUAUCCCUCUGCCGUUUGGACCAUCGGGUCAAGUAUCAGACAUGACCUGCUGUUGAGAUGGAGCUGUUGGCUGUACUGUCACCUCAAAGGGAAGCCCCCAGGAGCCCCAUCUGACGUUCUCCACUCCUGCUCUCUUGCCUUGGAGCCCUGUUGGGUGCAAUGUGUGCACUAGGACCCCUCAAGCCUCUCAGCAGCAGAUGCCCAGUGCAUUUCCAGGUCUCGAGAAUCAUCCGUUGGCCAUUGGGACCUCUGGUUCUUACUUCAGACCAGCCAUUGAGAUGGAGCUGUGAGCUCUGCUGCUACAUCAAAGGGAAGAUUAAUCACUGACCCAUAGCCUUGGGAGACGUGGCC